rnacentral:rRNA from 1 species
AUUGAACGCUGGCGGCAUGCCUUACACAUGCAAGUCGAACGGUAACGGGUCCUUCGGGAUGCCGACGAGUGGCGAACGGGUGAGUAAUAUAUCGGAACGUGCCCAGUAGUGGGGGAUAACUGCUCGAAAGAGCAGCUAAUACCGCAUACGACCUGAGGGUGAAAGGGGGGGAUCGCAAGACCUCUCGCUAUUGGAGCGGCCGAUAUCAGAUUAGCUAGUUGGUGGGGUAAAGGCCUACCAAGGCAACGAUCUGUAGUUGGUCUGAGAGGACGACCAGCCACACUGGGACUGAGACACGGCCCAGACUCCUACGGGAGGCAGCAGUGGGGAAUUUUGGACAAUGGGCGCAAGCCUGAUCCAGCAAUGCCGCGUGCAGGAAGAAGGCCUUCGGGUUGUAAACUGCUUUUGUCAGGGAAGAAAUCUUCUGGGCUAAUACCCCGGGAGGAUGACGGUACCUGAAGAAUAAGCACCGGCUAACUACGUGCCAGCAGCCGCGGUAAUACGUAGGGUGCGAGCGUUAAUCGGAAUUACUGGGCGUAAAGCGUGCGCAGGCGGCUUUGCAAGACAGAUGUGAAAUCCCCGGGCUCAACCUGGGAACUGCAUUUGUGACUGCAAGGCUAGAGUACGGCAGAGGGGGAUGGAAUUCCGCGUGUAGCAGUGAAAUGCGUAGAUAUGCGGAGGAACACCAAUGGCGAAGGCAAUCCCCUGGGCCUGUACUGACGCUCAUGCACGAAAGCGUGGGGAGCAAACAGGAUUAGAUACCCUGGUAGUCCACGCCCUAAACGAUGUCAACUGGUUGUUGGACGGCUUGCUGUUCAGUAACGAAGCUAACGCGUGAAGUUGACCGCCUGGGGAGUACGGCCGCAAGGUAGAAACUCAAAGGAAUUGACGGGGACCCGCACAAGCGGUGGAUGAUGUGGUUUAAUUCGAUGCAACGCGAAAAACCUUACCUACCCUUGACAUGUCAAGAAUUCUGCAGAGAUGUGGAAGUGCUCGAAAGAGAACUUGAACACAGGUGCUGCAUGGCCGUCGUCAGCUCGUGUCGUGAGAUGUUGGGUUAAGUCCCGCAACGAGCGCAACCCUUGUCAUUAGUUGCUACGCAAGAGCACUCUAAUGAGACUGCCGGUGACAAACCGGAGGAAGGUGGGGAUGACGUCAGGUCCUCAUGGCCCUUAUGGGUAGGGCUACACACGUCAUACAAUGGCCGGUACAGAGGGCUGCCAACCCGCGAGGGGGAGCCAAUCCCAGAAAACCGGUCGUAGUCCGGAUCGUAGUCUGCAACUCGACUGCGUGAAGUCGGAAUCGCUAGUAAUCGCGGAUCAGCUUGCCGCGGUGAAUACGUUCCCGGGUCU